rnacentral:rRNA from 1 species
GACGAACCGUGCGAACGUUGUUCGGAAUCACUGGGCUUAAAGGGCGCGUAGGCGGGCCGCCAAGUCUGUGGUGAAAUCCCCCGGCUCAACCGGGGAACGGCCGCGGAUACUGGAGGUCUCGAGGGAGGUAGGGGCAUGCGGAACUACGGGUGGAGCGGUGAAAUGCGUUGAUAUCCGUAGGAACUCCGGUGGCGAAGGCGGCGUGCUGGACCUCUUCUGACGCUGAGGCGCGAAAGCCAGGGGAGCGGAACGGG